UACAGAGGUCUCAACCGUUGUUCGGAUUCAUUGGGCGUAAAGGGUGCGUAGGCGGUCGCGUAAGUCAGGUGUGAAAUCUCAGGGCUCAACCCUGAAACUGCACUUGAUACUGCGUGGCUCGGGUACUGGAGAGGAGACUGGAAUUUACGGUGUAGCAGUGAAAUGCGUAGAUAUCGUAAGGAAGCCCAGUGGCGAAGGCGAGUCUCUGGACAGUUACCGACGCUGAGGCACGAAGGUCAGGGGAGCAAACGGG
rnacentral:rRNA from 1 species